GAUGAACGCUGGCGGCGUGCCUAAUACAUGCAAGUCGAGCGAAUGGAUUAAGAGCUUGCUCUUAUGAAGUUAGCGGCGGACGGGUGAGUAACACGUGGGUAACCUGCCCAUAAGACUGGGAUAACUCCGGGAAACCGGGGCUAAUACCGGAUAACAUUUUGAACCGCAUGGUUCGAAGUUGAAAGGCGGCUUCGGCUGUCACUUAUGGAUGGACCCGCGUCGCAUUAGCUAGUUGGUGAGGUAACGGCUCACCAAGGCAACGAUGCGUAGCCGACCUGAGAGGGUGAGCGGCCACACGGGGACUGAGACACGGCCCAGACUCCUACGGGAGGCAGCAGUAGGGAAUCUUCCGCAAUGGACGAAAGUCUGACGGAGCAACGCCGCGUGAGUGAUGAAGGCUUUCGGGUCGUAAAACUCUGUUGUUAGGGAAGAACAAGUGCUAGUUGAAUAAGCUGGCACCUUGACGGUACCUAACCAGAAAGCCACGGCUAACUACGUGCUAGCCGCCGCAGUAA
rnacentral:rRNA from 1 species